rnacentral:rRNA from 1 species
AUUGAACGCUGGCGGCAGGCCUAGCACAUGCAAGUCGAACGAGUGGCGGACGGGUGAGUAAUGUCUGGGAAACUGCCUGAUGGCGGGGGAUACCUCUUGGAAACGGUAGUUAAUACCGCAUACCAUCGGAUUUGCCCUGAUGGGAUUAGCUAGUAGGUGGGGUAAAGGCUCACCUAGGCCACGAUCCCUAGCUGGUCUGAGAGGAUGACCAGCCACACUGGAACUGAGACACGGUCCAGACUCCUACGGGAGGCAGCAGUGGGGAAUAUUGCACAAUGGGCGCAAGCCUGAUGCAGCCAUGCCGCGUGUAUGAAGAAGGCCUUCGGGUUGUAAAGUACUUUCAGCGGGGAGGCGUUACCCACAGAAGAAGCACCGGCUAACUCCGUGCCAGCAGCCGCGGUAAUUC